UAGGGAAUCUUCGGCAAUGGACGAAAGUCUGACCGAGCAACGCCGCGUGAGUGAAGAAGGUUUUCGGAUCGUAAAACUCUGUUGUUAGAGAAGAACAAGGACGUUAGUAACUGAACGUCCCCUGACGGUAUCUAACCAGAAAGCCACGGCUAACUACGUGCCAGCAGCCGCGGUAAUACGUAGGUGGCAAGCGUCGUCCAGAUUUAUUGGGCGUAAAGCGAGCGCAGGCGGUUUCUUAAGUCUGAUGUGAAAGCCCCCGGCUCAACCGGGGAGGGUCAUUGGAAACUGGGAGACUUGAGUGCAGAAGAGGAGAGUGGAAUUCCAUGUGUAGCGGUGAAAUGCGUAGAUAUAUGGAGGAACACCAGUGGCGAAGGCGGCUCUCUGGUCUGUAACUGACGCUGAGGCUCGAAAGCGUGGGGAGCAAACAGG
rnacentral:rRNA from 1 species